rnacentral:rRNA from 1 species
AGGAUGUUUGCUACUAGAGUUAUUUCAACGCAACGCGUUCCUUUAGUAGUGUUCAUAAAUGCUGAAGGCUGUUUUUAUAAAAACAGCUUUAGCAUAGAACAUACUGAUAGGGAUUCAUUAGAAAUGAUUAAUAAUUCUUUAAAUAUAAAGUCUAAAAUAUCAGCUAAAACAGUGAGAUUAACAAAAUAAGGAAAAGCUAUAAAAGCUACUCAUCUGUUAACUAUAUCUAGCAUAUUUGAUAGAGAAGCUCUUGUAAGACUUAUUUAGGACAAAGGUACCGCAUUUUUACAAGGAUAUAAACAAUAUAUGCAAUGAAAUUGAAUAAAUUAAUGUUAUGAUACAUAUACGAUGUUUGAGCUGUAUGCAGUGAAAGUUGCACGUACAGUUCUAAGAGGGGGAAAGCCUGAGAGGGCCUACCUAUCUCAACUAGAUACCCUAAUAGUCCUUGCAGAAAAUUAUGAGUGUUAUAGGUUAGGGUUCUUGAUCUAUAAAUCAAAGUGUAAGCACUCCACCUCAAGAGUAAUGCGGCAACGUUGGAACUGAAAUCAUUAGACCGUGUCUGAAACCAGUAGUGAAGUAUGUUAUUUAAUUCGAUGAUCCCCGAAAAACCUUACCACAACUUGAAUACUAUUAAAUUAUUACAAGUGUUGCACGGCUGUCUUCAGUUAAUGUCGUGAGAUGCAGGUUAGCUCCAUAAAUUAACGUAAACCCUUGCUUUAUUUUUUAUAUAUUGCAGUUCUCUAAUUUACUUUAUGAGAUAAAAGGGACCAAGACAAGUCAUCAUGACCUUAACGUUGUGGGCUAUAGACGUGCCACAUUUAC